rnacentral:rRNA from 1 species
AUUGAACGCUGGCGGCAGGCCUAACACAUGCAAGUCGAGCGAGCGGCGGACGGGUGAGUAAUGUCUGGGAAACUGCCGGUUGGAGGGGGAUAACUACUGGAAACGGUAGCUAAUACAGCAUACCAUCAGAUGUGCCCAGAUGGGAUUAGCUAGUGGGUGGGGUAACGGCUCACCUAGGCGACGAUCCCUAGCUGGGCUGAGAGGAUGACCAGCCACACUGGAACUGAGACACGGUCCAGACUCCUACGGGAGGCAGCAGGGGGGAAUAUUGCACAAUGGGCGCAAGCCUGAUGCAGCCAUGCCGCGUGUAUGAAGAAGGCCUUCGGGUUGUAAAGUACUUUCAGCAGGGAGGCGUUACCCGCAGAAGAAGCACCGGCUAACUCCGUGCCAGCAGCCGCGGUAAUAC